AGCUUUAUAGUCAAUAAUGAUGUAAAAUUGCAAAUUUUAAGGAGUAAUGGGUUAUUACUAAGGCUU
rnacentral:tRNA from 1 species